UACGUAGGGGGCUAGCGUUGUCCGGAAUCAUUGGGCGUAAAGCGCGUGUAGGCGGUCCGGUAAGUCCGCUGUGAAAGUCGGGGGCUCAACCCUCGGAUGCCGGUGGAUACUGUCGGGCUAGAGUGCGGAAGAGGCGAGUGGAAUUCCUGGUGUAGCGGUGAAAUGCGUAGAGAUCGGGUGGAACACCAGGGGCGAAGGCGGCAUCCUGGCUCUGUACUGACGCUGAGGCGCGAGAGCGUGGGGAGCAAACCGG
rnacentral:rRNA from 1 species